GGGGGUCGCGCAGGCGCAGCGGGGCGGGGCGCGGGCCCAGAGAGCGCCGGGCGGCGGCGGCGCCAGAGCGGGUGGAGCGCUCGGGGUCCCCGGGUGGCGGCGGCGGCGGCGGCGGCGGCGGCGGCGGCGGCGGCGGCGGCGAGGAGGAGGAAGGCGGCCCCGGCCCGUCCCGCGCCCCCGACGCGGCCCCGGGCCCGUCCGCCGCCAUGGCCCGGCCGCUGGUGCCCAGCUCGCAGAAGGCGCUGCUGCUGGAGCUCAAGGGGCUGCAGGAGGAGCCGGUGGAGGGCUUCCGCGUGACGCUGGUGGACGAGGGCGACCUGUACAACUGGGAGGUGGCCAUCUUCGGGCCGCCCAACACCUACUACGAGGGCGGCUACUUCAAGGCGCGCCUCAAGUUCCCCAUCGACUACCCCUACUCCCCGCCGGCCUUCCGGUUCCUGACCAAGAUGUGGCACCCCAACAUCUACGAGACGGGGGACGUGUGCAUCUCCAUUCUCCACCCCCCCGUCGACGACCCCCAGAGCGGGGAGCUGCCCUCGGAGCGGUGGAACCCCACCCAGAACGUCAGCGUCGGCCGGACUCCGGGGCGGACGUGCCCACACCUGGCUCCCUGCUCCCCCAGGACCAUCCUCCUGAGCGUCAUCUCCCUCCUCAACGAGCCCAACACCUUCUCGCCGGCGAACGUGGACGCCUCGGUGAUGUACCGCAAGUGGAAGGAGAGCAAGGGCAGGGACCGCGAGUACACGGACAUCAUCCGGGUCCCCACAGCCCUUCACCUCGUGACUGAAGCCCCAGGAUCCCGUCUUCCUCUGCGCCCUCCCCCACGGGCAGCACCUCUCAGGACGCGGGGCCACUGUUGGCGUUUUGGCCCCAGUGUGUGUGUCCCACAGCCAGGCUGGGCUUGCUGUCAGCUUCUGGGUGCCACCUGACCCACAUCGGGGCAUGGGUGUGGUUGCGUAUUUGUGCAUGUGUAUGUGCACGUGCGUGUCUGCGUGCAUCUGCAGGUUUGCACUGUAUUGUUCGUGUGUGCACACCUGUGUUCACACAUGUCUGUGUUAAUGCGUGGGUUUGUGUGUUCAUGUCUUCAUGUGUGUUUGUGCAUGUGUGUUUGCAUGUUCAUGUGUGUCUGCGUGUUCGUGUGUCUGCCUGUUCAUGUGUGUGCAUGUGUAUCCCUCUGCUGGCUUCUGCUCCUUGGCUUGGCUUCAUGCCCCUCCUUCUGGGGAGGGUGUUUUUCGUGUCACUGAGACUGUGUUUUGCGUCAGUCUUUCUUCUCCAUGUGACAGUCCAUGGGCGUCAUUCACCUUCGUGAUUGUGAAACCCGGAGUCGUCUUUGGAGGCAGGAGGGUCAUGGUGUCGCACGUUUCAGUAACAGUUUCUCUUCUAAGGAGUAGCUUUUCUGGUGAUUAAGGCGACGGGUCACUGGGGUCUCGCUGGAACUGAGCCCCUCAUUCUAGUUGUUUCCUGUGUUUCCCUCACAAGCAAACGGGUGAAGGUCUUUGCUGAGGAUCUUGCGCUAGACGGUUCUCAGGGCGCAGGCGCCACCUCCUCGCUCGUGCCCCCCGCCCGCUGUCCCUGUUCAGCGCGGGGUCUGCUGGCGUCUUUUGAGACAAACUUAAUCCUUCGUUAGGUUUUUCCGACAUUGUCGGUUGUCGUUUGCCUUCAGUUAGGAAAGCGAACAAGCUAGACGCACCCCUGCCUCCUGACCCGGCCCCUCGAGGCCCACGCUGUGCCCACGGGAAGCCGAGGGUGUGUCCCCCCUGCGUCCACGCAGACAGUGAGGACACUUCGGGCCCCAGACGUUGGCGACAGCCCAGAGGCAUCAUGGGUGGAGGGUGAGGAGCCACGGCCUGUCCACGCCACGUCAGAGGGCCCCACCGUGGCACCGGAGUGGGGCUGGAAAGGCAAAGGGCCUGGGGGACGGUCUCUGGGAGACGCGGCCCAGCGCUCGGCGAGGAGGCGACAGACCCGAGCGACGGAGGGAGCACAUUCACAAGGGAGAAAAAUCUCAGACCAGAGCCAAGAAGACCCCACGGCCCCAGCCACUGAGGACGACGUCUAGGGUCUCCUUCCAGAUGUCCAGCCCUGGACCUCUCUCCUGGCCCAAUCACCCCCCUCCCCGACCUCUGACCCCUGACCUCACAUCUAGAGACACAGAGGACAGCCUCCCUAGGCCACUGCUCUCACUUGACCUUCGAGGCCCGUCCAUGGGGACUGACACACCUGCACCAUCCUGUCACACGGCGUGUGGCCCCACCAGUGCCCACCUCUGACACACGUGAGUGGGCAGGUGUGCACAUUACAGGCACACGCAUGUGGGCAGGUGUACACGGGUGAGCAGACAUGCACACGCAGACAGGGGCGCACGUGUGGACGGGCGUGGGGGUGUGUUGGGGUGACGGCUCCAUUCCCGGGUCUCUGUCUGCUCUGCAGGCCGCCACCCAUUUAUCCUGAAGUCCCGUUCCCCGGGGACGCGCUCUCGUCCCUCACAUGCCCUGUCGGGUGGUGUCUGCGUGUCUCACGGGAGCAGUUUCUGAACAACCGCGACGGUGCCUCGUGGUGACUGUGUCUGCUGCGCCCCACACACACGCCUGAGGGGCUCUCCUCUGCGUCCCCACCGUCCGGAGCGGCUGUCCUCCGUGCUGGGCGGUCAUGGCUGUCACUCUGGGGCCUGAACGGCUGUGAUGGACGUCCCUGCAGGUGGCGCUGGUCCCACUGGCUGUCCUGGGAGGAAGCAGGUCCUGGGGACCAAGGUGGACGCGGAGCGGGACGGCGUGAAGGUGCCCACCACGCUGGCCGAGUACUGCGUGCAGACCAAGGCGCCCGCGCCCGACGAGGGCUCAGACCUCUUCUACGAC